AUUGAACGCUGGCGGCAGGCCUAACACAUGCAAGUCGAGCGGAUGAAGGGUGCUUUCUCCUGGAUUCAGCGGCGGACGGGCGAGUAAUGCCUAGGAAUCUGCCUGCUCGUGGGGGCUAACGUCCGGACACGGGCGCUAAUACCGCAUACGUCCUUAGGGAGAAAGUGGGGGAUCUUCGGACCUCACCCUUUUAGAUGAGCCUACUCCGGAUUAGAUAGUUGGUGGGGUAAAGGCCUACCGAGGCGGCGAUCCGUACCUGGUCUGAGAGGAUGACCAGACACACUGGAACUGAGAGACGGUCCAGACUCCUACGGGAGGCAGCAGUGGGGAAUAUUGGACAAUGGGCGAAAGCCUGAUCCAGCCAUGCCGCGUGUGUGAAGAAGGUCUUCGGAUUGUAAAGCACUUUAAGUUGGGAGGAAGGGCAGUAAGUGAAUACCUUGCUGUUUUGACGUUACCAACAGAAUAAGCACCGGCUAACUUCGUG
rnacentral:rRNA from 1 species